rnacentral:rRNA from 1 species
UAAUGCAAGUCGAGCGGAUCGGAGGGAGCUUGCUCCCGAUGAUUAGCGGCGGACGGGUGAGUAACACGUGGGCAACCUGCCUAUAAGACUGGGAUAACUUCGGGAAACCGGAGCUAAUACCGGAUAAUGCUUUUGAACACAUGUUUGAAAGCUGAAAGAUGGUUUCGGCUAUCACUUAUAGAUGGGCCCGCGGCGCAUUAGCUAGUUGGUGAGGUAACGGCUCACCAAGGCGACGAUGCGUAGCCGACCUGAGAGGGUGAUCGGCCACACUGGGACUGAGACACGGCCCAGACUCCUACGGGAGGCAGCAGUAGGGAAUCUUCCGCAAUGGACGAAAGUCUGACGGAGCAACGCCGCGUGAGUGAUGAAGGUUUUCGGAUCGUAAAACUCUGUUGUUAGGGAAGAACAAGUAUCGGAGUAACUGCCGGUACCUUGACGGUACCUAACCAGAAAGCCACGGCUAACUACGUGCCAGCAGCCGCGGUAAUACGUAGGUGGCAAGCGUUGUCCGGAAUUAUUGGGCGUAAAGCGCGCGCAGGCGGUUCCUUAAGUCUGAUGUGAAAGCCCACGGCUCAACCGUGGAGGGUCAUUGGAAACUGGGGAACUUGAGUGCAGAAGAGAAGAGCGGAAUUCCACGUGUAGCGGUGAAAUGCGUAGAGAUGUGGAGGAACACCAGUGGCGAAGGCGGCUCUUUGGUCUGUAACUGACGCUGAGGCGCGAAAGCGUGGGGAGCAAACAGGAUUAGAUACCCUGGUAGUCCACGCCGUAAACGAUGAGUGCUAAGUGUUAGAGGGUUUCCGCCCUUUAGUGCUGCAGCAAACGCAUUAAGCACUCCGCCUGGGGAGUACGG